rnacentral:rRNA from 1 species
CCUGGUUGAUUCUGCCAGUAGUCAUAUGCUUGUCUCAAAGAUUAAGCCAUGCAUGUCUAAGUAUAAGCAAUUAUACAGCGAAACUGCGAAUGGCUCAUUAUAUAAGUUAUCGUUUAUUUGAUAGUACCUUACUACUUGGAUAACCGUGGUAAUUCUAGAGCUAAUACAUGCUAAAAAUCCCGACUUCGGAAGGGAUGUAUUUAUUAGAUUAAAAACCAAUGCCCUCCGGGGCUCACUGGUGAUUCAUGAUAACUCCUCGAAUCGCAUGGCCUUGCGCCGGCGAUGGUUCAUUCAAAUUUCUUCCCUAUCAACUUUCGAUGUUUGGGUAUUGGCCAAACAUGGUUGCAACGGGUAACGGAGGGUUAGGGCUCGACCCCGGAGAAGGAGCCUGAGAAACGGCUACUACAUCCAAGGAAGGCAGCAGGCGCGCAAAUUACCCAAUCCCGACUCGGGGAGGUAGUGACAAUAAAUACUGAUACAGGGCUCUUUUGGGUCUUGUAAUUGGAAUGAGUACAAUUUAAAUCCCUUAACGAGGAACAAUUGGAGGGCAAGUCUGGUGCCAGCAGCCGCGGUAAUUCCAGCUCCAAUAGCGUAUAUUAAAGUUGUUGUGGUUAAAAAGCUCGUAGUUGAACCUUGGGCCUGGCUGGCCGGUCCGCCUCACCGCGUGUACUGGUCCGGCCGGGCCUUUCCCUCUGUGGAACCCCAUGCCCUUCACUGGGUGUGGCGGGGAAACAGGACUUUUACUGUGAAAAAAUUAGAGUGCUCCAGGCAGGCCUAUGCUCGAAUACAUUAGCAUGGAAUAAUAGAAUAGGACGUGUGGUUCUAUUUUGUUGGUUUCUAGGACCGCCGUAAUGAUUAAUAGGGACAGUCGGGGGCAUCAGUAUUCAAUUGUCAGAGGUGAAAUUCUUGGAUUUAUUGAAGACUAACUACUGCGAAAGCAUUUGCCAAGGAUGUUUUCAUUAAUCAGGAACGAAAGUUAGGGGAUCGAAGACGAUCAGAUACCGUCGUAGUCUUAACCAUAAACUAUGCCGACUAGGGAUCGGACGAUGUUAUAUUUUGACUCGUUCGGCACCUUACGAGAAAUCAAAGUGCUUGGGCUC